rnacentral:rRNA from 1 species
CUAGCCCUAAACGAUGAAUACUUGGUAAUAGGGAGUACAUACUCUUUAUCGCCGAAGCUAACGCAUUAAGUAUUCCACCUGGGGACUACGGCCGCAAGGUUGAAACUCAAAGGAAUUGAC